rnacentral:rRNA from 1 species
UACGGGGGGGGCAAGCGUUGUUCGGAAUUACUGGGCGUAAAGGGUUUGUAGGUGGCCCGCUAAGUCACACGUGAAAUCCCUCAGCUUAACUGGGGAACUGCGUGUGAGACUGGCAGGCUCGAGGGCAGGAGAGGAACGCGGAAUUCCAGGUGUAGCGGUGAAAUGCGUAGAUAUCUGGAGGAACACCGGUGGCGAAGGCGGCAUCCUGGACCAACACUGACGCUGAGGAGCGAAAGCCAGGGGAGCAAACGGG